AGCCGUGCGGUUGACGUUUCUUCGGAAACUUGAGAGCGGCGCACGGGUGCGUAACACGUGUGCAACCUACCUUUAUCUGGGGGAUAGCCUUUCGAAAGGAAGAUUAAUACCCCAUAAUAUAAUGAUUGGCAUCAAUUAUUAUUGAAAACUCCGGUGGAUAGAGAUGGGCACGCGCAAGAUUAGAUAGUUGGUGAGGUAACGGCUCACCAAGUCAAUGAUCUUUAGGGGUCCUGAGAGGGAGAUCCCCCACACUGGUACUGAGACACGGACCAGACUCCUACGGGAGGCAGCAGUGAGGAAUAUUGGACAAUGGGUGAGAGCCUGAUCCAGCCAUCCCGCGUGAAGGAUGACGGUCCUAUGGAUUGUAAACUUCUUUUGUACAGGGAUAAACCUACUCUCGUGCGGGU
rnacentral:rRNA from 1 species